UCAUGACCCCGGGUGCUGUCACACCUUCUCCUUCCUUCCGGGCUCUUGUGUGCAGAACCGGUGCUGCGGAGCUCCAGGACCAACGUGCUGUAGCGGCAGGUCGUGAUUGGCCGGACCAGAGCGGGCGGAAGCAAACACACGCACGUGUUCCACAUCUGCACCUGGACCAGGCUUUGGACCUCACCUGGAACACCCGACACCCUGGGAAGAACUCUGACGUGGACAAGGUCGCAGCCGGAAGCACGCAGGAAGUGGACGGAUGGAGAAGGUGACGCCUGCAGGACAACAGGAAGUCAACAAGGCGCUGAGUGCAGGUUGAUGAUGUUUGGGAGCAGGAGGCGGUUGCCAUGGAGACCAACCUGAACGGAGGCGAGGUCGUGUUGCUCCAUGCUGGGAGACGGUCAGAGAUAGGACAGCAAGACCAGACGGGACAGGUAUUGUCCGCACUUUGCAGUGGGACUGGCUGAACUCGACACAAACAUAUUUUAGUCUGGACACUUUUUUUUUUUUUUUUCAACGCUUACAUCUCUAGAUCAACUUCAGAUAUAAAGUUGUAUUUAUUUUACGUUUUAUAACAAGAAAAGCUUUUUUUUUUUUUUACUGCAAAAACACAAAAUAUGCAACAUUUUCCAUCAAAACAAUUUCAAAGUGGUAUAUUUGUGAAGUAUAAAUAGACCAAUAAUUCACAACAUUG